AGGGUCUUCCGUAUAUUCUCCCCGCACCGGGUCCGUGCUCGGCUUAGUGGAGGAAGAGGAGAAGAAGGGGAAGACAAGGGCGGCACAGUAGCUUACCUGCUGAUGUUGGCUGUGGUGAUGGAGCCUGCUACCGGAGCGGUAGGAGAGUGGCCCACAGCGGGAGCAUGGCCAGAGUGGUGGAAAGACAGUGGGGCAGGUUUUUCUGGCUUUGCCUGCCCAGCAGUCUGUGCCCACCUAGAGGAGGAGGAGGGGCCACCUUGCCACAUGCUGGAGGCUGGAGCCUGCAGCCUGCAGAUGGCACAGUACUACAGCUUGCCUCGCUGCGGUUGGUGGCAGUGAUGGAGACUGCAGCUCGACCCCAGCGAUAGGAGGCUGGAGGAGUUACUUCCCAGGUUGUGGUGACAUAGGAACAUUCACUGUCCACAACUCCUGGAGGGGCAGUCACCUUCACCUAUGGCUCCAAAAUUGGGGCUGUCAUCAGAGAGCAUCUCAACAGCUGGACCCAACAGAACAUCUGGCAAUGUCCCCAGGGCAAUGGUGGGCACAAGCAGUCAGGUCCUGGGACCCCUGCACAAUCCCCUGGUUCUCUUCAUGAAGAAAAAGCCACUCUGGUUAUAAUGAGGACUAGACCAAGAAUGAGGCCCAGUAUUACAUGCUCGGUGUGGUGAUCUGAAACGUCACCACAGGGACAAAUACAAAAAUACAAGUGGGAAACUACACUCAAACCCUUGGAUCAAGCCUCAGUCCUAUGCUUCUGAAGCAAAUUUCUUGUUUUUGGAGUCUGGUUUUCAACCACUGUAGACUCAGAUCAUUUAUUCUUCAGGCCCCCAAUGGGAUCAUCACAAGCACUUUUUCUGUCAAUCAUGGCAGUCACUUGAGAUCAAAGGUGAAUUUCUUCUUCCUCAAGUUAUAAGCAACACUUUGGCAUAUUUGGUGAACUUCAAAGAAAAUGGCUAAGAUAGAGGAUGAGAGACAUAAAAGGCCUCAGGAAUAUUUCAGCAGAUGCAAAGCAGACUACAGGGUAACUCAUUUCCUGUAUGAUUUGAUUGAUUGCAAAAUGUGAAAUUAAAUGCAUACAAAGGGGAAUGUGUGUCAUUUUUCCUCUUAAUGACAAAGUAAAAAAAAGCAAUAAAACAAAAACAAGCACUAUUUCAUAUGUCUUGAUAAACUUGUAGAGAGUCUUAUAAUAUCCACAAUAUCUAGGAUACAGUAAAAUAACUUUCCAUAUGAAGAACCAGAAGAACACAGCUUAAAUGAGAAAAGACAAUUGAUAGACACCAAUACUGAAAUAAUUUAGGUGCUGAUGUCAUGUAACUGAGAUUACUUAAGGAGUAAUUAUACAGUUCCUUCAGUGAGCAAUUUUAGACAUUAUUUUUUGAAGUUUUAGGUUCAAGGGUUCAUGUGCAGGUAUGUUACAUAGGUAAACUUGUGUCACAGGGGACAUUCUUGAAACAAGUGGAAAAGAAGCAAAUCCCGAAAAGAAAAAUAAGUCAUAAAAACAGACCAAAUUAAAAUUAGGAAACAGAAAAACGCAAUAAAUUAAAAACAACAGUCUGGAGGGACUCUGGAACAGGUAACAGUGAAAUUAAAGUUCAGGCAUUAGAGGAAUUAUUUACCGUUAAGUAGGGAAGAAAGUACAAACAAUAGCCAUCUAAGCCCAGCAGGGGGAGCUGUGGAUCUUCUCAGAGGUGAGCAAGGCCGGAAAUGAACUCGCGGGGCUCUCAAUUUUGGCUCCUGGGCCCAUACUCACUGGCCCGACCUGGGGCUUAGAGCAGGUGCUUUCUCCCAAAGGGCAAACUCAGAGUUCCCAGUAGCCCAUCCUCCCUGACAGAGCGGCUGCUCCCUGGCUGAGCACUCAGAACUUACGGAGCUUCUGGUUUUGGUAGAGGACCCAUGUUUGCAUAAUGUCCCAACCAAACACACAUCUACCCAAGGAGCUGAUGAGGAGUUAGAGGAACUGUCCCAGGGUCCAGAAGUAGCCGGGGGUUCUGGGGAUCCUUGGAAAGUCCACACCAUAGCUUGGAUGUCUAUCCUCCCCUCUCUCCCUCCUCACUGCCCAGGUUCAUGUAGAUUUCAAAGACAGGACUUUGGAGGGAUCUGUCUGCUGUGAUUCCUCACACAUAACAUGUAUCUGUUUUUGUUUCUUGGUUCAGUUCUCAGGCUGUGGUGACUCAGGAGCCCUCACUGACUGUGUCCCAAAGAGAGAGACUUAUUCUCAUGUGUGGCUUCAGCACCACAGCACUGAAUUCAGCAGAAGCCUGGUCAAGUCUUCAGGACAUUGAUGUGUAACACAGAUAACAAACACCCCUGGAUGCCCACUUGAUUCUCUGGCUCCCUCCUGGGGGGGGGGGGGGGGAAGCUGCCCUGACCCCUCAGGGGCCCAGCCUGAGAAUAAGGCUGAGUAUACUGCGGGCUACACCACAGCAGUCCUUAGCACAGUGAGAGACCCAGAUGGGGAUACAGGACAUGAACGAGCUUUUGGCUGAUCCUGGGUACAAACAUGAACGUAGGAUAUCAGGAUCACAUGGCCAGACACCUGAGCUCUCAAGGACACCUAAGUUUUAACUAUCCAUAGAGAGAAAGGUGGGUGGAGGGGUGUAAAUUGAUUCCUGUAUCUGUUUGAAUUUUAAUGUGGAAAAUAUUUGUGAAUUAUUUGGGAGAUGCAGAUUCCCAAAAAGAAGAAUUUAUGUUUAUAUUCCAAAAAGAACAGUACUAGUGGGAUCAACUGUAAAGACUAAGGUCAAACACACUUCAUCCAGAAAGAUGGAUCUCAAAAGAUUUUGUUGUUGUUUUGCCUAUUAAAAGCUAAGAGAGGAAAUUAUAUUAAUAAAGUUUAUUUCAUGUUCUAUGUUAAUAGUGUGUAUUUCAUAGCUUUUUAAGCAUUAAAAAUUAUAAAAGUGUUAAGAGGGAUUCUCUUCUCUAAUGUUAUAUAAGAAAGUAUCCACCUAGGAAAAUAUGUUGAAGGUCUAACCCCCAGUACUUCUAAAUGUGACCUUAUUUUUAAAAUAGUGUUAUUGCUUAUGUAAUUCUUAGGAUGAAGCCAUCCUAGAGCGAGGUGGCCUCUUGAUCCAAUGUGCCUGGUGUCCUUAUAAGAUGAUGGUAGUAAGGAGAUUGGAAGACACGGAGAGAAUGCCAUGUGAAGACGAAGGCAGAGAUUGAAUUUACACAGCUGCAAGACAAGGAGCACUAAAGAUUGCUGACAAACCACCAGCAGCCAGAAAGAGGGAAGGAAGGAUCUCCCCUCAGGUAUAUAUGGAAACAUUGCCCUUUCUAUGAAUUUUGGGAGGCUAGCCUCCAGAACUGUGAGACAAUACAUUUGUGUUAUCUUAACCAAACUUGUGUUUAAUACAUUCUGACAGCAGUUCUAGGAAACCAAUACACCAGACAAUAAAUUACACAAUACUUCUG